UACAGAGGUCUCAAGCGUUGUUCGGAUUCAUUGGGCGUAAAGGGUGCGUAGGCGGCCGCGCAAGUCUGGCGUGAAAGCCCCGGGCUCAGCCCGGGAAGGGCGCUCGAAACGGCGCGGCUCGAGUGCCGGAGGGGAGAGUGGAAUUCCUGGUGUAGCGGUGAAAUGCGUAGAUAUCAGGAGGAAUACCGGUGGCGAAAGCGACUCUCUGGACGGCAACUGACGCUGAGGCACGAAAGCGUGGGGAGCAAACAGG
rnacentral:rRNA from 1 species